GAAUAUGUAAUAGGGAAAGGAUAAUCUCUUCAACAAAUGGUGCAGGGAUAACUGGACAUCCACAGACAAAAGAAUGAAAUUGGACUCUUAUACCAUAAACAAAAAUCAAUUAAAAAUGGAUUAAAGAUGUAAAUUUAAGACCUGAAACUGAAAACACCUAGAAGAAAACAUGGGGGAAAGCUUCAUAACAUUGGUCUUGGCAAUUUAGAUCUUUGAGGAAUUACCACACUGCCUUCCACAAUGGAUGAACUAAUUUAUACCCCACCAACAGUAUAAAAGCAUACCUUUUUCUCUGCAACCUCACCAGCAUCUGUUGUUUCUGGGAUUUUUAAUAAUUGCCAUUCUGGCUGGCAUGAGGUGGUAUCUUACUGUGAUUUUGCAUUUCUCUAAUGAUCAGUGAUGUUGAGCUUUUUUUCAUGUUUGUUGGCCAUGUGAAUGUCUUAUUUUGAGAAGUGUCUGUUCCUGUCCUUUGCCCACUUUUUAUUUUUUUAUUUUUUUGAGACAGUCUCUCUCUGUUGCUCAGGCUGGAGUGCAAUGGCAGGGUCUCGAUCUCGGCUCACUGCAACCUCCACCUCCCAGAUUCAAGCAAUUCUCCUGCCUUAG
rnacentral:lncRNA from 1 species